rnacentral:lncRNA from 1 species
UGUAAAACAUAUAUUUCCCCUGCAUUGCCAAUAAGCAAUUUUGGUCACAGGAUUUUAGUCUCUGGACCUCUGACACAUCGUUAGACUGAGAUCCAAUGGACAUGAAUACACAUAUUCACUGUGGGUUAGCAGUGCACAAAUGUGACAGCUAUUGUGAGAAGAGGAGGGUAGGACCUCCCUCCAAUGCUCAGAAAAUGUAUAUUUCUUUAAUACAGAAGUACGUAUAUCUGAAUACAUUUUCUAUCAUCAUUUUUUCCUAUAAUUUCUUGAAUAAUCUAUAUGGGACCUAUUAAAAUAAAAUUAAAAAAAAAAAAAGUUAUUUGUUUUAAAGGCACUGGGGAUCUUUCUUACAUGGGGACUGCAUGUAGCAUUAAUUUCUUUUGGGUAGAAAUACUAACAGUGUUAUUGGCCUUUGGCUUUCUCUUACAGGUAUAGCACCACUAAUAACCUAAGUCUGUCCCCUUCAGAAAUUUCAGCAGAAAUAUAAAAUGUGGAGAAGGGCACAAAAAGCUUCUUUCAGAGAAUGGAGAUGGUGAGAAAUAAGCUUGUCAGUCACUCUUGUGGUUUCCCCCUUAACUGACAUACAUCUGCAUUAAUACAUGUUUUUCCUAAGUGCUCGUAAUCUAUCUGGGGGGAGUUAAAGGCUGAAAGAAAAUGCUUAAAAGGUAGACUGCUGUCAAUGACUGGAAACAGACUAGUUUAUUGCCAUAUGAACACCAAUCUAUCACUCAGGGCAUAGUAUCAGGGGAUUACAAGUGCUACUGAUAUUUGUCAAAAUGUGUUUCCUCUUUUUACCUGCAGCUUUACUCUGUCUCUGUCCAAAAUAAUGAUCGUGUUGAUCCAAGCCUUUUGCUGUGAUGAAAUAGUGCUUGGCAGAAGGUUUACAUGGAGUCUUCAGCUCUGAGGAUGGUUGAGCAGGAUGGGCUAGAUGUAAGAAAGUCAGCACCAUCUGAGAAGAUGCCUUACAGCAUGUUGGAAGACAAAAUACAUGAGACAAAACUCCUUGCAGGCUGCAAAUUAUCACUGCUCAUCACUGGUCAUCUGGACAUUAAGCCUCUCUGCAACUCUUUAGAUGUGUGUGGCCAACCAGCCAAUUCCUUGUCCAUCAAAUAGUCCUUCCUUCAAAAUAUUUUCUGUUCAAUUUAGAGACAAUAUCUUCAUUUUCAUGUUAUAAAAAUAUCAUAUAGUGGAUGCAGUCCUAAUUUAAUCUCGAACCAGUUUAAUAGGGAAAAAAUACAUUUGCGUACUCAGCUACAGAAGAACAACCUGAAGGCCAUCAGAACACUAAGACCAAGCUCUGUGUAAUACAGGUACAGCAGGCUGUAAGUUGGUCUUACAUCAGAAACCAUUCUUGAUCCUGUUUUAUUCAGCAGCAUGGCCAUAAUUUUGGGUGGGUGAGAGUUAAUUUUAUUUAUAGAGGCUCACAUGAUGUCGUGUUUUUGAUUUUUGAUGAAAGGACUGUUGAUAGCACACCUGUGUUUUAGGUGUUGCUGAGAAAUUUUCACACAGAGCCAAGCACUUUCCUGUUUAUCACUUUCUCCCGUUUCUCACUUUCUCCUGUUGCCCUGCCAGCAAGGAGUCUGGAGGUGCAAUAAGAGCUAUGAGGGAACACAGCCAGGCCAGCUGGCCCAAGGGGGACCAAAAUGAUAUCCCAUUCCAUACUCUGCUAUAAAAGCUGGGGUAAAAAAGGAGGAAGGAAGUAGGAGGGGAUGUUGAGAGUGAUGGCAUUCGUCUUCCCGAGAAACGUGAUGAGCCCUGCAUUCCUGGAAUUGACUGAGCGUCUGCCUGCUGAUGGGAAACAGUGAAUGAAUACUUUGUUUUGCUUUGCUUGUUUACACAGCUUUUGCUUUACCUAGUAAACUGCCUUUAUCUCAGCCCAUGAGUUCUCACACUUUUACCUUUCUGAUUAUGUCCCCCAUCCCACUGGUAGGGAGAGAACAGGUGGGUAUUGCUAAGCUGUGUAACAGGGUUUAACCAUGACAAGCAUAUAGCCUACAAAGCCUACGUAAUUAAUUUGAAAAUCAGUCAGAAAUCAGAAACAACAAAUGCAGACAUGGUAAGAUGACUGAUCUAAGAAAAUGUAUAUAGCUAACUGUCAUACUUGCUAAAUAACUGAUGUUUUCCCUGGUUGUUUACUCAAAAAGUUUGAUCUGUCUCAAUCGUAUUAUUAGUAGCUACAUGCAAAAUACAAAACCUUGAGGGGAGAGAAGAAGAACCCAUUGUGCUACAAGUGCUGCAAAAAGACAUGGCAUUUUCCUACUCUUUCAUAAUCCUUGAAAACUGAGGGUGGUAAUUGACUUCUGCUGAAUACAAGAUGUCAUUUUCAAGGAGACAAGAAAGUUUACAUGGUUAUAAAGUUUAGAAAGAAACCAGAAGUCAAUUUUUUUCAAAUUUUCAGCAGUGACCUCAGUGUUUGUAUGCCACUAAUGAAUCACUGACCUUCUGCCAAGGCCAUUUCCCAUAGUUACAGCAAGAAUCGUAAAAUAAAGAUCCCAGGUUUCUUGCA